CAGUAGCCGCGGUAAUACGAAGGGGGCUAGCGUUGUUCGGAUUUACUGGGCGUAAAGCGCACGUAGGCGGAUCGAUCAGUCAGGGGUGAAAUCCCAGAGCUCAACUCUGGAACUGCCUUUGAUACUGUCGAUCUGGAGUAUGGAAGAGGUGAGUGGAAUUCCGAGUGUAGAGGUGAAAUCCGUAGAUAUUCGGAAGAACACCAGUGGCGAAGGCGGCUCACUGGUCCAUUACUGACGCUGAGGUGCGAAAGCGUGGGGAGCAAACAGGAUUAGAUACCCGUGUAGUCCCUGUCUCUUAUAC
rnacentral:rRNA from 1 species